AUACAGUGAUCCACGAUGAACCUGCAGGUUAUCAAAGGAAACCAUUCAAGGAUUUGGCAUUAAUACAGCUCCUGUUCUCAAUUCUAACAAGUGACUCCAAUAUGUACAAAAUUUUAUCCACCUUUUUAAUUUGUGAAAUGGAUUGAUCAUAAACAAGGCAGCUACAGAGCUAACUGAAGAAUGUAAGAACCUUUCAAUAAGACAUCACUUAAAGAAGAGAUUGAGAAGCAAAAUGUUUAAACGACAGUUUAUUGUCGGAUUAUAGUUCAUAAAUUAGUUGCCCAAAUCACAUUCUUAAGUAGACAUCCAUUAUUAUGGCUCGUACAUGUGGGGCUUUAAAUUAAA
rnacentral:misc_RNA from 1 species